rnacentral:sRNA from 1 species
UUUUUUUCUGUUUUUUU